GCGACCCCAGGUCAGGCGGGAUUACCCCCUGAGUUU
rnacentral:rRNA from 1 species